rnacentral:rRNA from 1 species
GAUGAACGCUGGCGGCGUGCCUAAUACAUGCAAGUCGAGCGAACGGACGAGAAGCUUGCUUCUCUGAUGUUAGCGGCGGACGGGUGAGUAACACGUGGAUAACCUACCUAUAAGACUGGGAUAACUUCGGGAAACCGGAGCUAAUACCGGAUGAUAUUUUGAACCGCAUGGUUCAAAAGUGAAAGACGGUCUUGCUGUCACUUAUAGAUGGAUCCGCGCUGCAUUAGCUAGUUGGUAAGGUAACGGCUUACCAAGGCAACGAUGCAUAGCCGACCUGAGAGGGUGAUCGGCCACACUGGAACUGAGACACGGUCCAGACUCCUACGGGAGGCAGCAGUAGGGAAUCUUCCGCAAUGGGCGAAAGCCUGACGGAGCAACGCCGCGUGAGUGAUGAAGGUCUUCGGAUCGUAAAACUCUGUUAGUAGGGAAGAACAUAUGUGUAAGUAACUGUGCACAUCUUGACGGUACCUAAUCAGAAAGCCGCGGCUAACUACGUG